rnacentral:rRNA from 1 species
CCUACGGGUGGCAGCAGUGAGGAAUAUUGGUCAAUGGGCGCAAGCCUGAACCAGCCAAGUCGCGUGAGGGAAGACGGCCCUACGGGUUGUAAACCUCUUUUGCCGGGGAGCAAGCCUGAGCACGUGUGCCCAGGCGGAGAGUACCCGGAGAAAAAGCAUCGGCUAACUCCGUCCCAGCAGCCGCGGUAAGUCGGGGGAUGCGAGCGUUAUCCGGAUUUAUUGGGUUUAAAGGGAGCGCAGGCGGGCUGGUAAGCCGGCGGUAAAAAUUCCGGGCUCAACCCUGUCGAGCCGUCGAAACUGGCAGCGUUGAGUGGGCGAGAAGUAUGCGGAAUGCGUGGUGUAGCGGGGAAAUGCAUAGAUAUCACGCAGAACUCCGAUUGCGAAGGCAGCAUACCGGCGCUCAACUGACGCUCAUGCACGAAAGUGUGGGUAUCGAACAGGAUUAGAUACCCGAGUAGUC